GACGUUGAUAGGCCGGGUGUGUAAGCGCAGCGAUGCGUUGAGCUAACCGGUACUAAUGAACCGUGAGGCUUAACCUUACAACGCCGAAGGUGUUU
rnacentral:rRNA from 2 species